UUUUUUUUUUUUUUUUUUUUUUUUUUUCUGGUUACUGGAUUGUCCUCGAAUCAGGAAGAGAACUGACAGGAC
rnacentral:ribozyme from 13 species